rnacentral:lncRNA from 1 species
AAGGAUGGAUAAGCACAUUGAAAUGUCCUAUUGUUGCUUUGAAGCAUUCAAGAUGCUAGCCAAGAACUAUUUAGAUAUUGAUUCACAUGAACUGUAUGCAGAGAUUGAAAUUAUGCUGGCUGAAACCAACAUGACUCCUGCUGAUGUUGCGGAGAAUUUGAUGCCCAAGUGCGAUGAGGAUGACACAGAGACUUGUGUGAAGAAUUUGAUUGAAGCUCUCAAGGCGGCGAAGGAGGAGGCAAUCAAGAAGGCUGAAGAAGAAGCACGGUUGAAAGCAGAGGAGGCGACAAAGAAGGCUGAGGAAGAAGUGCGGUCCAAGGCAGAGAAAGAAGAGAAGGAAAAGCAUGCAAAAGAAAAUGAAACUUCAUCUUCUUCUGCGAAAGAAAAUGGGUCCAUUGCUAAUGGUAAUGAGAAUACAAGCAACUGAGGAUCCAGGACUUGCAUAUGAACUAUCAGCUUUAUAAUUUAUUCACACUCCUGUGCUGAAUGUUUACGUGUAUUGUAUCAUUUCGGUUUGUAGAAUAAUUGUUUGCUGCAUUGUGGUCAUUAUUAGUAGUGAAAGCUGGAGUUGGCAUGCAGCUUUUAGACUGGAUUUGUGUAAAAAGCUCUGAAUUCUUCGGUUAUAAAGUCCAAUAAAGACUGUGAUAAACACUGAAGAAGGACAACUUUAAGUCAUGUGAGAAGCGUAUUAGUGUUUUGGUGGUGUAAAUUAGUACAAAAUUUGUAUGAUCACUAUUUUAAGCAAAAAUGGUCCAUCUGGUUUCAUCUUCAUUAGUACCCAAGUAAAGAUGUUUAAAAUCAGCGAACAAAAAUGAUGCCAGUAUCAAAUUUCAAAUGAAUACAAGGCUGAAGAGAAAUCUUAUUAAAAUUUUGAACUAAUAAUGUAAUUUUUAAUUAUCGAUGAAUGAAAAUGGGAAUGGGGUUGACAGUGUGUUGAGGUUAAAAGAAAAAGUAUAAGGGUGUAUCUAGCAAUGGAUGGACCUGUCUAUGGUACAGAUUCUGUAACAAACAUCUCCCGUCAUCCCACCAUCCGAUUGUCUAUUGUUUAGUUUCUCACUCCACAUCCAACCACAUCCAACGGCUGAUGCUGCAGUCUGUAGCUUACAGAUUCUGUAAGCUAGUCAAGUCCGCAAUGGAUUGAGGCAAUCUGCCAAAAACGUUCUAACUUUAUUAGAAUUUCUGCCCGGCCAUAAUUCUAUAGCCAUUCCGAACCACAGAGUGAUAGUCCCUAUUCCCAAAAAAAAUACACUAAUGAAAUUGAAGUAGUGACCUACCAAGUCAAAAUAAGCUUAUAAAAUUAACCACAUAUUAAAAAUAUUAAAUGAAAUAAACGCUAUUGGCACUUGAUAGAAAUGAUGCUUAGCUAUGCUGAGAUGAAGGUCUCAUCUGACCAUGGUAUAUGAUUAUGGCAAAUGGUGGCCGCCUCAUUCGUCAUAUUGUCUUUCUCUCUCUAAGCAGGAAACAAAUAUCUUUUGAUGUUGCAUUUGUAGUUCAAUAAAACUUGAUAUUAUAGCCUUAAAAUUAAAUCAUAUUGAGAGUUCCAAAUUUGUAAUUCAAUUUGCAGGCAAUCUCUAUUUCAUUAAACAAAUCAGCUGAUUUAUACUAGUAUGAUAUUUAAUGUAUAAAACCAAAACAAAAAUACCCAGUAAGUUGAUGGUCUGUAACGACAAAAAGCAAUUGAAAAGUUGUAAAUUGAUAAGACUGAAUUGCAUUUAAAACAUAAAUUGGCCUGGAAAAAAAUUGCAAAUUUGACGUGUAUUUGAAGUUGAGGUCUUUUUUUUUUUAUAUUAAUCACGAGGUAUCCUGGGGAGGGCCCCAACUGUGGGAGGUACCUUUAAGCCCGUACCACAACCCAGACUAGAAGUCUCUGCUCGAACCGGGAGGCACAAGUUCUCCCAACAAAGGCGACUUCCCUGCGACUCGAACUGGGGAGCAAACCCAAUCAAGCCACUUAAGGGGACUCCAUUGCCAGUGGAGCCAACACUUUGUUGGUUUGAAGUUGAGGUCUUGAUUGAGCAUCUAAUUGUCAAGAAAUUGGGUGCACAAAGUAGAGAAUCGAUGCAUGGUUGGCUCUGCGUUGACUCCACCAUCUGAAAUGGUAAUCAAUUUCCAGAGUUAAAGAGGUAAUAUUUCUCUUAAUUAUUGGUUUUCCUUUCUGGAUAUGAGGUAACUUUUAUUGGUUAACGUUGGUUAUUGGCUUGAAAAUGAUACAACUAAAAAUUGUUUCUAAGACACUUCAGUAUUGUACUUGACAUAUUUUUUAGAGUAGAAAAAUGAAAUUUGCCAGUGAGAUUCAGGGCUUUCUUGGAAGAUUGGUAUCAAGAAAACAGGCUUGUUGGAAUAUGUCCUCAUUUUUUUGAAGGGAACGCGCUGCUACAACCUACAAACCUGUAAUACUCUAAAAAUUACCCCUGAAAACAUAAGGGUAAAAUUGAAAUGAAACCUCACAUCAUUUAUUCUUAUUAAUAAAUUUCAAGAUAAACAAUCAUUAUUCAUACUCUAAGUCUAACGCAUGCUAACUUUUAGAUUCAUCCAAAUUGAUUCAAUUCAUUUGUACUGCCACAUAACCAUAUUUUCAUCCUCUGCUGUUUUAAUUAAUCAUUGAUUGUGGCAGUUGGACCAUUUCUAAAAUGAAACUAAUUUGUUUAUAAGACUUAAGAGUCAAGCCUGCUAAGCAAGAACUUUUAUUAUUAUUAUUAUUAUUAUUAUUAUUAUUAUUAUUAUUAUUAUUAUUAUUAAAAAUAAUCGAAUACAAAUUAAUAAUUAUGACAAUAGUUAAUUAAGAACGUUUUAGUAAUUUUUAAUAAUUUAACUCAUUUUGAUCUCAACUCCAAUAUAAAAUAAAUACAUCAAUAAGAAAAGAGUCCAUUAAUUUUAAACAACUUAUUCUACUUUUAAUUUUUUAUUUCAAUUCCAAUCUAUUUCAAUUUGUUUAGUAAACGUACAUAAAACAGUACGACUGAUUAAUUAAAAUAGUGGUCAUGUGGGCAAUAUUUAUUUUUAAAUAAUUAUUUUGUAAUAUUAAAGAGGAAACUGUUAGGAGAUUGUUAUCUUACAUAAUCAUUUAAGAUAUAUGAUUCUUACACUGUGGUUGAUAAAAAUUUAACAGUUGUGAAAAUAUAAUAUAAUAAAAUUAUAUUAUUUUCACGACUAUUAGAUUUUUAUCCAAUGACUGUAGAAGAAUCAUGUAUCUCAGGUGAUCAGGAAAGAUAACAAAAGCCGCCAUUUUACCGUUUUUAUUGGUCAGAGGGUCAACCCUCUCACAUGCUUUUCUGCCAACGUAAUUGGCAUUUGGCUAUUAGCAAAGAGGCAAAAGCAUUACGUGGAGGUCAAAGAUGAUGGCUAAUAUGUACAAUGGAGUUGGUGACAGAUAAAAACACAAAGACAGCAGAAAAGACAGUAAUAUUGUUCUUUUUAAGUAAAUUUUAGAUUACCUCUAAUAAAAAAAUAAUUUUUAAAAUACUAUCAAAUUAUUAUAAAUUUUAAUUUAACUCUUUUUUAUUUUAAAAAAUAAUGGUGAAUUAAUGAAAAAUAUUUUAUAUUCUUUACAAAAUUAGGAGCGAGUUGAUAUUUAUGAUAACUUGAAAAAUGUUUUAAAGAAUGUAAUUUUACAAGAGUAAUUAAAUUUUCUUUUUAUAAAUUAAAGAAAGACCGACCUCGACUCUUAAGUCUCUGCGGAAGCCACUCGGAAGAAAGCAAUUAGGCAAUGGUGGGGAUAGCUUCAUGGCCGUGAUCAGCAAGCCAAAACACAAUAUAUAAGACCCUUCUCCACACUAACCUUACAGAUUUUAUAUACUAGUUUUGUCUGAAAUAGCUAGAGAGUAACGUAGCAAAAUGGUGACUACUGGAGAAUUGUUGGCGACUCUAGGCUCAGUUAUGGCGAGUGUCAUGUUUGUAUCAGCUAUAUUCAAGCAAUACUUUCCAUAUCAACUUUGGGGCUAUGUUGAAAAAUAUAGUCAAAAAUUGUUUCGGAUUCUGUAUCCUUACAUAGAAAUUACGUUUCAUGAAUUCUCCGGUGAUCGUCUCAAGCGCAGCGAAGCCUUCUCUGCCAUACAAAACUAUCUCAGCACCACUGCCUCUUUGCAUGCUACAAGGUUUAAGGCUGAUGUUGUCAAAGACAGCCAGUCUAUAGUCCUUAGCAUGGAUGAUAGGCAGGAGGUCACAGAUGAGUUUAAAGGGAUCAAAGUUUGGUGGGUGUUGGGUAAGAAUAUUCUUAAGACUCAGUCGUUUUCAUUUUAUCCAGCGACGGAUGAGAAGAGGUAUUACAGGCUCACGUUCCAUAAGAGUCACCGGGAACUCAUCACCGGGCCCUAUGUUAACCAUGUGUUGGCUGGAGGAAAGGCUAUCACCGUGAAGAACCGGCAACGGAAGCUGUACAGCAACAAUCCUAGCAAGAAUUGGUAUGGCUGGAGAUCAACAAAGUGGAGCCAUGUCUUUUUUGAGCAUCCUGCUACAUUUGAUACGUUGGCAAUGGAGACAAAGAAGAAGGAAGAGAUCAAGAAGGACCUCAAGAAGUUCAGCGAGGGGAAAGAGUACUACGAGAAAAUUGGGAAGGCUUGGAAGAGAGGGUAUCUCCUUUACGGUCCUCCAGGAACUGGCAAAUCAACCAUGAUUGCUGCUAUGGCCAACUACAUGAACUAUGAUGUGUAUGAUCUUGAACUUACCACAGUGAAAGACAACACAGAGUUGAGGUCUCUUUUGAUUGACACCUCAAGUAAGUCGAUCCUAGUUAUAGAGGAUAUUGAUUGCUCUCUUGAUCUCACCGGCCAACGCGAGAAGAAAAAGGAGAAAGACGGGGACGAGGAGGAGAAGAAUCCAAUUGAAAAGAAGGAAAAAGAAGAUGGUGAGAGCAAGAAAAGCAAGGUUACAUUAUCCGGGCUUCUGAAUUUCAUCGACGGCCUUUGGUCAGCUUGUGGGGGAGAAAGGAUAAUUGUGUUCACUACAAAUUACGUGGACAAGCUUGAUCCUGCGUUGAUUAGGAGAGGAAGGAUGGAUAAGCACAUUGAAAUGUCCUAUUGUUGCUUUGAAGCAUUCAAGAUGCUAGCCAAGAACUAUUUAGAUAUUGAUUCACAUGAACUGUAUGCAGAGAUUGAAAUUAUGCUGGCUGAAACCAACAUGACACCUGCUGAUGUAGCGGAGAAUUUGAUGCCCAAGUGCGAUGAGGAUGACACAGAGACUUGUUUGAAGAAUUUGAUUGAAGCUCUCAAGGCGGCGAAGGAGGAGGCAAUCAAGAAGGCUGAAGAAGAAGCACGAUUGAAAGCA